GGUGAACGUUGGCGGCGUGGAUUAGGCAUGCAAGUCGAGCGAGAACCCAGCAAUGGGGGACAGCGGCGCAAGGGACAGUAAUGUGUAGAUCAUCUGCCCUCAGGUCCGGGAUAGCUGCGGGAAACUGCAGGUAAUACCGGAUAACAUCUCCGGAUCAAAGGUGUGAUUCCCCCUGAGGAUGAGUCUACAUCCUAUUAGCUAGUUGGUAGGGUAACGGCCUACCAAGGCGAUGAUGGGUAGCGGGUGUGAGAGCACGACCCGCGUCAUUGGGACUGAGACACUGCCCAGACACCUACGGGUGGCUGCAGUCGGGAAUCUUCGGCAAUGGGCGCAAGCCUGACCGAGCGACGCCGCGUGUGGGAUGAAGGCCUUCGGGUUGUAAACCACUGUCAGAGGGGAUGAAAUGCAGGUGGGUUCUCCCAUCUGUUUGACAUAGCCUCAGAGGAAGGACGGGCUAAGUUCGUGCCAGCCGCCGCGGUAAGAC
rnacentral:rRNA from 1 species